AGCAGCCGCGGUAAUUCCAGCUCCAAUAGCGUAUAUUAAAGUUGUUGCAGUUAAAAAGCUCGUAGUUGAACUUCGGGAUCAAUUAGUUGGUCAUGCCUUGGUAUGUACUGAUUUUAUUGGUUCUCACCUUCUAAAGAACUAUAAUGUCAUUUAUUUGAUGUUAUAGGGAAUUAGGACUGUUACCUUGAAAAAAUUAGAGUGUUUAAAGCAGGCUCACGCUUGAAUACAUUAGCAUGGAAUAAUGAAAUAGGACAUCGCAUUCUAUUUUGUUGGUUUCUAGGAUCGAUGUAAUGAUUAAUAGGGAUAGUUGGGGGCAUUAGUAUUCAAUUGUCAGAGGUGAAAUUCUUGGAUUUAUUGAAGACUAACUACUGCGAAAGCAUUUGCCAAGGAUGUUUUCAUUAAUCAAGAACGAAAGUUAGGGGAUCGAAGACGAUCAGAUACCGUCGUAGUCUUAACCAUAAACUAUGCCGACUAGGGAUCGGAUGAUGUUGAUUUUUUAAUGA
rnacentral:rRNA from 1 species